rnacentral:rRNA from 1 species
UACAGAGGUGCCGAGCGUUAGGCGGAAUCACUGGGCUUAAAGCGCGUGUAGGCGGGUCGUUAAGUGUCCGCGUGAAAUCCCACGGCUCAACCGUGGAACUGCCGGGCAUACUGGCGACCUUGAGGCGCUUAGGGGCGAGCGGAACAAAUGGUGGAGCGGCGAAAUGCGUAGAUAUCAUUUGGAACGCCGACGGUGAAAACAGCUCGCUGGGAGUGUCCUGACGCUGAGACGCGAAAGCCAGGGGAGCGAACGGG